rnacentral:rRNA from 1 species
ACUCCUGCGGGAGGCAGCAGUGGGGAAUUUUGGACAAUGGGCGAAAGCCUGAUCCAGCCAUGCCGCGUGCAGGAUGAAGGCCUUCGGGUUGUAAACUGCUUUUGUACGGAACGAAACGGCCUUUUCUAAUAAAGAGGGCUAAUGACGGUACCGUAAGAAUAAGCACCGGCUAACUACGUGCCAGCAGCCGCGGUAAUACGUAGGGUGCAAGCGUUAAUCGGAAUUACUGGGCGUAAAGCGUGCGCAGGCGGUUAUGUAAGACAGUUGUGAAAUCCCCGGGCUCAACCUGGGAACUGCAUCUGUGACUGCAUAGCUAGAGUACGGUAGAGGGGGAUGGAAUUCCGCGUGUAGCAGUGAAAUGCGUAGAUAUGCGGAGGAACACCGAUGGCGAAGGCAAUCCCCUGGACCUGUACUGACGCUCAUGCACGAAAGCGUGGGGAGCAAACAGGAUUAGAUACCCUUGUAGUCC